rnacentral:rRNA from 1 species
UACAGAGGUCCCGAGCGUUGUUCGGAUUCACUGGGCGUAAAGGGUGCGUAGGUGGUUGGGUAAGUCUGAUGUGAAAUCUCCGGGCUCAACCCGGAAAUGGCAUUGGAUACUAUUCGGCUAGAGGUUUGGAGGGGGGACUGGAAUUCUCGGUGUAGCGGUGAAAUGCGUAGAUAUCGAGAGGAACACCUGCGGCGAAGGCGGGUUGCUGGGCUGAUACUGACGCUGAGGCGCGAAAGCUAGGGGAGCGAACGGG